rnacentral:lncRNA from 1 species
GGGGGGCAAUUCAGCCAAAAUUUCGGGGUCCAUCUCCAAAUCAGGUAACACGUCGCCAUCAACACCGAUGCUGAGAAAAAGAUCGUCGAAAUCGAUACUUUCAAGUAAGUUCCCGUCAGCGAAAUCCGGGAACUCGUCGGAGCUGAUUGUGAAAGUACUCUCCAUCUCUCCUUCGUCAUCAUCUGUGCUUGUGUUGUUCCUCAAAGGUGACACAGCUAGCAUUAAUUCAAACUUUUUUUUUUCCCUUCUUUUUUGCUUCCUUCAAAGAUUAAAACCAAAACUACAAACAACAAGAAACGGUUGAACCCAGAAAUUAUAUAUAUAAUGAGUUGGUG